GCACCGGGAGUGGGGCCGCUGAGACUUGGCCGUGGCGCCCUCCGGGGGCUGUUCACGUCCCUGCCUUUCCGGGAGGAGACUGUUGGGAAAUGUAGCAAAAUGCUUUGCUAUACUACCAGGGAUGGAAGCUUUACCAUGUGGGAUGAGGGGUACUUCCUGGAAAGGGAGACUAAUUCCGGACAGCUAUGGGAGGAGCACAAGUGUCUGUUAGACCUUGAAGUGGCAAUGAAAUGACGCCUUCCUUCUGACUUCUUCCCAAAAGAAUGACUCCAUGGAAUCAUACCCUUUUGCUAUGACAAUAUUAACUUGAAUCUUCAAAAAAUUAAAUUAGUUGUCUAAUAUCAGCUGAAAUAUUAUUGGUCAACAUCAGCUUUUGAAAAACUUUAAUCACUGAAGGAGACAUUUGAAGGAUGGACUUUGGUGCUUAGACUUUGGUGCAGUUUACUACGCAGCUCCUGUGAUAUUUGCCAGUGAUCAGUACCUCUUGAUGUUGGUGCCAUUGUGGGAUCCUUGUGUGGCCUGGACUUAGCAGUGCACUAAAAUGAAUGUAAUGUGAAAGAAAUGGGGGUAGGCAACAGCCAUGUACAUACCAGAAUGCCUGCAUUUGAGGGGCAGCUCUGGCAUCUGACUCCAGCUUCUUUCUAAUGAAAACCCUAGGAGGCAACAGGUAAUGUUUCAAGUAGUUGAGUACCUGCAGUUCACAUGGGAGACCCAGACUGAGUUUCCA